AGCAAUCACUAACGUUAGCUUGCUAUUCAUUGGAGUGGCUGUGUGUUUUUUUCUCAGAGUUCCCACCAUAAAUCCAGAGAAUACCAGACCUUGAUGACAAAAUUUGCCCACAAUGGACCACCGACCCACCUUCACAAGAGUUGUCAGGUACCUCAGCUUGGUUGAUGGCUCCAUCUCCUGCUUGGCUCACAGUAGGGCAGAUGCACAUGUGGAUGGAUGAAGGGCCGGGGACCACUGCACUGACUGACAGGCAGAAUAAGGGCUUUCAGUGAGGGCUUAAUGAUUCAAACUGUGAUCAAUAACAUCAGAG